UAACCUCUCCUUCUCCUCUCUCGCGGCAUCGACUUCCUCUCGGGCGAAACCGCAGCCGAAGCUAGGGCUUCGUCUCUGGCGCCAGCCAAGGGGCGUUUUCACGAGAUCUUCACACCGUCGAGAUCCUCUCGUCAAGGAGGAGCUGUAGGCACGAGGAAGAGGCCGAGAUCUUCACUCCUCCGGGAACCCUAGAAGCCCCCUUGCGUUCGGUUGUAGGUUUAAGAAGAGAUAAAGGAAGAUGACGAGGAGGUGCGGAUGGUGUGUGAUGCCAGGACUAUGGGAGAGACUUGGGAUGUUGUUGAGUUUUUCGUAUUGUAGUGAUUAAUAAACAUUGAGAAUGUAUUUUGAGUUCCAUGUCAUUUGAAUUGUUUUAUCGUGUUUUGUAAAAGUUGGUUAUUUUGAUUAUAUAUGAACUGCGUGGGUGUUUGAUAUA